rnacentral:rRNA from 1 species
UGGAGUGCUUUUCCAGGACUUUUACUUUGAGAAAAUUAGAGUGUUUCAAGCAGGCUUGUUGCCUUGAAUACUGCAGCAUGGAAUAAUAAGAUAGGAUUUCGGCCCUAUUUUGUUGGUUUCUAGGACUGAAGUAAUGAUUAAUAGGGACGGUUGGGGGCAUUCGUAUUUA